UGGCAUAUACAAAGAGAAGCGACCUCGCGAGAGCAAGCGGACCUCAUAAAGUAUGUCGUAGUCCGGAUUGGAGUCUGCAACUCGACUCCAUGAAGUCGGAAUCGCUAGUAAUCGUAGAUCAGAAUGCUACGGUGAAUACGUUCCCGGGCCUUGUACACACCGCCCGUCACACCAUGGGAGUGGGUUGCAAAAGAAGUAGGUAGCUUAACCUUCGGGAGGGCGCUUACCACUUUGUGAUUCAUGACUGGGGUGAAGUCGUAACAAGGUAACCGUAGGGGAACCUGCGGUUGGAUCACCUCCUUACCUUAAAGAA
rnacentral:rRNA from 1 species